CUGAGCGCGGGGGCGCAGGCGACCGCGAGGGGGCGCUGGGCGGACGGGCCCCGGUUGGGGAGCCGCCGGAGGGGGGGAGCGGGUAGCGGAGCAAAGGCGCGCGGGCCCCGCCCCGCCCUCCCCAAGUGGGGAAACUGAGCCCGCGAGACGGAAAAAGGGCCCCAGAGCGCUGGUAAAGCGGCACGUGUGUCCUGGGGCUGCAGAAGCACUUGAGCCACGUCCAGCAGCAGUGAGAAAGCGUGAUGACAAUGCUGCGUAUUAGUUUGCGCGACAUCGGUGGUAAUAAAUCACUAGCACACCUUGCGUGGCCCCUCGGUACCUUGAUGAGCCCAUGACGCCUUCGCUUCCCUGAAGCUUCGCGGUUGACAAAGGGAAUUGAGGACAGGAGAGCAGGGCAGAUCAUGGGCCGUCCGUGGACGUGAGCGGGUUGUUGGAGGCUGGAAUGCUGCUGUCUCCGGUGCAGCCUGUCACCAGCCAAGGGGUCUGCCACAUUCCACACCGGCCAGAUUUCCAGUCACAAGGCUCUCUCCCUCUGAGCAGGCUGGUUUUCCUGAGGAUGAGGGAGCCUCGCCCCUGGGGGAGAUGCGUGGGGACAACGCUCACUUCUGCCUUCUUUCUCCUGGGCUGCUGGGGACGCUCCGAUUUCCAGCAGGUGGGCGAAUCUGCAGGAGCU
rnacentral:lncRNA from 1 species